rnacentral:rRNA from 1 species
CAAAGAGCAUAUGGUGGAUGCCUUGACAUCAAAAGGCGAUGAAGGACGUAGCAGCCUGCGAAAAGUCUCGGGGAGGUGGCAAGCAACCUUUGAUCCGGGAAUUUCCGAAUGGGGCAACCCUGCGCGAUGUUGAAUCGCGUAACUCCAACGCAAGUUGGAGAGCAUACUCGGCGAAGUGAAACAUCUCAGUAGCCGAAGGAAAAUAAAUCAAUCGAGAUUCCCCAAGUAGUGGCGAGCGAACGGGGAACAGUCUAAACCUCUUAUCUUUUUAGCGUUUGUAGAAAUUGGUUUCGAUCAGUUUUGAAAGAUGUUAUAAAAGGUGUAGGCCUGAUAGGAUAAGUGGUGUUGCGUGGCGAUUAUAUUAUCUCCCUACGGAGAUUGGUAGAGAAGUAUCUUCCCUAGUAGAAUCACGUGGAAUACGUGGGCCAAAGAAGGUGAAAGCCCUGUACGCGAAAGGGGAUAUAGCUUUACGGUGAUCGUUCACAAGUAUCACCAGACUCGCGAAAUCUGGUGAGAAUCCGGGCCGACUAACGGUCCAAGACUAAAUACUUUUGAUGAUCGAUAGUGGACAAGUACCACGAGGGAAAGGUGAAAAGCAGCCCGGUGAGGGCGAUGAAAUAGUAUCUGAAACCAUGUGCUUACAAGGAGUCAAAGUCCAAAUACCCGCAAGGGUAUCGGAUAAUGGCGUUCCUAUUGAAGAAUGAGCCAACGAGUUUAUUGGGUGCGGCUUUCUUAAGGGCCUUUGGUCCGAAGGAGCAGUGAAAGCGAGCGUGAAUAGCGCGUUUGUCGCACUUAUAAGACCCGAAACCGGGUGAGCUAACCAUGACCAGGGUGAACUUUGCAGAAAUGCAAAGGAAGGCCCGAACCAACCAGCUGUGCAACACUGGUGGAUGAGUUGUGGUUAGGAGAGAAAUUCUUAUCGAACUCGGUGAUAGCUGGUACUCCUCGAAAUAGUUUAUCGACUAGCCUCGGAAGAUCCCUCUGGCGGUAGAGCACUGUUAAGGUCCCUAAGUCUAGGUUAAGUGUAAAAGGAGGUGAAAUGACUCAAACAACCAGGAGGUUGGCUUAGAAGCAGCCAUCCUUUAAAGAAAGCGUAACAGCUCACUGGUCAAGUUGUUUCGCACCGAAAAUGUACCGGGGCUAAACCUAGCACCGAAGAUACGGGCUCUUUGAUUUAUCAAAGAGCGGUAGAGGAGCAUUCCUUGCUCAGCGAAGUCGGAUCCGUCAGGACCGGUGGAGAGCAAGGAAGAGAGGAUGUUGGCAUAAGUAGCAGUAAGGCCAGUGAAAACCUGGCCCACCGUAAACCCAAGGUUUCCUGGGCAACGCAAAUCGUCCCAGGGUUAGUCGGCCCUAAGGUGAGUCACUGAUGUAUGUCAGUGGGUAGCCGAUGGAUGAGGUUGUUAAUAUUCAACCACUUUCGUACUUUUGUUUAACACUGCGCAUUGCGAAGAUGCGAGCGUGUUUUGGUUAUAUUCGUUCCGCAAGGAAGAGACAAAGCCGCAAGGCAGAGUCAAUUCGGGUUGGAGCAGUGCCAAGAAAAGGUGUUAAGCGUUAAAAGUAUGAAAACCGUACCGUAAACCGACACAGGUGGGUGGGCGUAAAUGUGCUAAGGUGUACGAGAGAACCCUCGUUAAGGAACUCGGCAAAAUAGUAUGCGUAACUUCGGAAUAAGCAUUUCCUUGAUUUAUCAAGGACGCAGUUAACGAUUUCAAGCGACUGUUUAACAAAAACACAGGUCCCUGCGAAACCGCAAGGUGAUGUAUAGGGGCUGAUGCCUGGAGCGAAAUACCUUGUCGUGUGAGUUACGACGCGCACGAAUGGCAUAACGACUUGAAAACUCUCUCAACGAGGGACUCGGCGAAAUUGCAAGAGAGGUGAAGAUGCCUCUUACCCGCGGCUAGACGAAAAGACCCCGUGAAGCUUUACUGUAGCUUGAUAUUGGGUUAAGGAUUUAUCUGUUCAGCGUAGGUGGGAGCUCCGAGCAAUCGGAGCGACGAUGAGACACCACCCUGAUGUUUUCUUAAUUCUAAUCUUCCUUGAUUAUCUCAAGGAGGAGACAGUAUCUGGUGGGCAGUUUAUCUGGGGCGGAUGCCUCCUAAAAUGUAACGGAGGCGUUUACAAAGGUGAGCUUGGCUCCGAUGGAAACGGAGCUGGACGUGCAAUGGCAUAAGCUCGCUUUACUGCAAGACCUACAAGUCGCGCAGUCCCGAAAGGGGAACAUAGUGAUCCGACGAUCCAAUGUAGGAUGGUCGAAGCUCAACGGAUAAAAGCUACUCCGGGGAUAACAGGCUGAUCGGGUCCAAGAGUCCACAUCGACGACCCGGUUUGGCACCUCGAUGUCGGCUCAUCGCAUCCUGGGGCUGGAGAAAAUAAAUCUUCUCUCUCUGACGGAAACGUCAGAGUAAUAAACGAGCCCAAAACGGUGAAGGCCUUUAAUAUUUGUUUUGGAUUUGCGCACGACGCAGGUCCCAGGUAUAAUAGAAACAUAUGUUGAAGGUUAAUCCCGUGGGAAAGCAAUGUUCCGAAGCUGAAAAGGCAUAUGCGGCCGGAUUUCUUGAUGCUGAUGGCGCCAUUAUGGCGACUAUUGAAAAACAUCAAGAAAAGAAAUUUGGCUUUAGAGUACGAGUAACAGUGAAAGUCACACAAAGUCGGCGUGAAAUUUUGGAAU